AUCCAGCUGAAGAGUUCUAAGCGGGACGAGACACUCGUCCUGGAU
rfam:Schistosoma margrebowiei strain Zambia genome assembly, scaffold: SMRZ_contig0001519